rnacentral:rRNA from 1 species
CAGCAGCCACGGUAAUACGAAGGGUGCAAGCGUUAAUCGGAAUUACUGGGCGUAAAGCGUGCGUAGGCGGUGAGUUAAGUCUGCUGUGAAAUCCCCGGGCUCAACCUGGGAACUGCAUUUGUGACUGCGAGGCUAGAGUGUGUCAGAGGGGGGUGGAAUUCCACGUGUAGCAGUGAAAUGCGUAGAUAUGUGGAGGAACACCGAUGGCGAAGGCAGCCCCCUGGGAUAACACUGACGCUCAUGCACGAAAGCGUGGGGAGCAAACAGGAUUAGAUACCCCCGUAGUCCCUGUCUCUUAUAC